UACGUAGGGCGCAAGCGUUGUCCGGAAUUAUUGGGCGUAAAGAGCUUGUAGGCGGUUUGUCGCGUCUGCUGUGAAAUUUCGGGGCUCAACCCCGAACUUGCAGUGGGUACGGGCAGACUAGAGUGUGGUAGGGGAGACUGGAAUUCCUGGUGUAGCGGUGAAAUGCGCAGAUAUCAGGAGGAACACCGAUGGCGAAGGCAGGUCUCUGGGCCACUACUGACGCUGAGAAGCGAAAGCAUGGGGAGCAAACGGG
rnacentral:rRNA from 1 species